rnacentral:rRNA from 1 species
UACGGAGGGGGCUAGCGUUGUUCGGAAUUACUGGGCGUAAAGCGCACGUAGGCGGCUUUGUAAGUUAGAGGUGAAAGCCCGGGGCUCAACUCCGGAAUUGCCUUUAAGACUGCAUCGCUCGAAUUGUGGAGAGGUAAGUGGAAUUCCGAGUGUAGAGGUGAAAUUCGUAGAUAUUGGGAAGAACACCGGUGGCGAAGGCGGCUCACUGGCUCAUAUCUGACGCUCAGGCGCGACAGCGUGGGGAUCAAACAGG